UACAGAGACUGCAAGCGUUAUUCGGAUUCACUGGGCGUCAAGGGUGCGCAGGUGGCCAAGUGUGUCAGGUGUGAAAUCCCGGAGCUUAACUCCGGAACUGCGCCUGAAACUGCAUGGCUAGAGCAUUGGAGAGGGAAGUGGAAUUCACGGUGUAGCAGUGAAAUGCGUAGAUAGCGUGAGGAACACCAGAGGCGAAGGCGACUUCCGGGACAAUUGCUGACACUCAGGCACGAAAGCGUGGGGAGCCAAAGGG
rnacentral:rRNA from 1 species